AGUGAACGCUGGCGGUAGGCCUAACACAUGCAAGUCGAACGGCAGCACAGUAAGAGCUUGCUCUUACGGGUGGCGAGUGGCGGACGGGUGAGGAAUACAUCGGAAUCUACUUUUUCGUGGGGGAUAACGUAGGGAAACUUACGCUAAUACCGCAUAUGACCUACGGGUGAAAGCAGGGGAUCUUCGGACCUUGCGCGAUUGAAUGAGCCGAUGUCGGAUUAGCUAGUUGGCGGGGUAAAGGCCCACCAAGGCAACGAUCCGUAGCUGGUCUGAGAGGAUGAUCAGCCACACUGGAACUGAGACACGGUCCAGACUCCUACGGGAGGCAGCAGUGGGGAAUAUUGGACAAUGGGCGCAAGCCUGAUCCAGCCAUACCGCGUGGGUGAAGAAGGCCUUCGGGUUGUAAAGCCCUUUUGUUGGGAAAGAAAAGCAGCAUGUUAAUACCCCGCUGUUCUGACGGUACCCAAAGAAUAAGCACCGGCUAACUUCGUG
rnacentral:rRNA from 1 species